UUGUUGUCUUUAAGAGGAGCCUGUCCCUCCUGUGAGCCUGUUUGUAUCAGAAUUCUGCAGAGUCCAGCUAUCCCUGUGAUCCUGUGAUUCUGUGGUCCUGUGAUCCUGAAAUCCUGUGUAUGGCAGAGCUCCUGGGAUCAAGCUGCCUCAGAGAUCCUGAUGUCCUCGUGUGUCUGAGCUCCUGAGGUCCUGAUGUUCACAUCAACUCUCUGAGGUACUUGGAAAAACAUUCAACUCAUGUACGGAGUGAGAAAAUUUGAUCUUCGGGCUGUAUGCACACAUCUUACAGAAAUCAGGGAGAAAGAUGUAAUUGAAGAAUGAAAUAGAAUUGAAGGACAUUAACUUGUGAUGACAAGUGGAAGAAUCUAGAUGAAGCAUGAGAGCAUCUGUGUAAGUCUAUUUCCAUAACAUCUUGCAAAGUAGAGUCACAUAGUAAUGACAGAAGUAGAACAACACUACCUGAGCUGAGAGGAAACAAGGGAGAAGGUAGGAAACACAAGGAAAUGACAGAAAUUGUUAGUGCUUUCUUGGCUGGAAACAUUAAACUGGAUAUGUGUAUAUAUUUAUUGUAGUUAUAUUUCCUUUUUUUAGUAUUUUAGACUAUUACACUAACCAAAGUAUUAGAAAAGCCUCCCAAUUUUUUCUAUUAUUUUAAUUUUAUUCAAAGAUACUUUUCAAGUUAGUUAAGGAAAUGUUAAGAAAAACUCAUGGUUUAUUUUUAGCAUAGAUGUCCAAUUCUUUAGGCACUUCUUGGUGACAAGAAAUCAGAGGCAGGAAAAGCCUAGGAAAGCAGAAAUGCCUUUUGUCAUUGGAAUGCCUCGACUACUUCCAUCCAUAUUCACAGCUGUAUGAGGUCAACAUUCUUGUAGUAAAAGCAAAGUAACAUAGCUCCCCAUCCCAGAUUUAAAAGGCAUGCAUUGAAGGAAAACAAGCUACCACCACUCUUAACAACAACAACAACAACAACAACAAAAACAACAACAACAACAAUAGAAACAACAACAAUCCCUGGAAGUUGGUCUAGUUUCCUUCAUCAAAUUGUCAGUACCACAAACAUAUCCAACUUUUGAAGCCCAGGUAGAAACAUUGCCAGGAACAGAUGCAGCUGCCUUAUUACUCAUGUGGGAUAUUAAUAAAAAUUUCAUACUCAUAAACCUUAGUAGAGUAGCCAAUGGAUAAAGAACAUUGCUAUUAGGUGUUGGAACACAGCCCCAUGGUAACAUGCUCGACAACACUACAAAUGUUCUUAAGUUUCUUCUAGAAUCUAUUAUUAGAACUCAAUGUUAGAUCAACACAUUUUUAAUGGAUAAAAAUUAAGCUUUAAUUUUGUCUGUUUCAAAGAGUUUAUUUCAUUAAGUGCAGAUUCUUCUACACAAAACUAUUUCUGAAAAGUGUGCAAAAGCUUCCGCAGAAAGAGUUUUGUAGGAUUGUGUUUUCUUUUAUUUUAGGAAGUUUGAUAACGUUUAGUAAUCUUUACAGAUUGGAAAUUUAAAUUUCUCUUUUGCAGACAUCUUCAUGCUCAACAGUUUUGGGGUGAACUUAUUUGGCCUUUCCUGUAAUAGAAUGCAUCUUGUUAUUGAGUUACCUGCAAUGACCUUUGAUAUAGUCAAGUAAAAAUGAUGAUAAGAUCCUUUCUUAUUUUCUUCUAACAUGAAUAUUCAGUUUUCCUUUCUGAACCAUGAGAGAAAAGACCUUGGGCUCACUGAGAGCAGGCACAGGCAGAAAGAAGGGUCCAUCACAGCCACACUAUGUCCCUUUAUUAUAGCAUCUUUGUAACUCUCUUUUUAUAGCAUUGUCUCAUUACUAGGGUAAACUGCUUUAAUCUGUCUGAGAACAGUCACCAGAGAACUGAGACUCUAUCAUAUAGUAGUAACUUUGUAGAUUCCACUUACCUCCAUGUUUCAAGAGAAAAGCUCUUGGGGCAGUGCAGUACAUGAAGGUAAAAAAAUGUAUGCUACUAAACAUGUCAUAAAGCAAUGGUAUACAUCUCUUUAUGAUGUAUACAAAUGCCUGUGAGCAUACCGUCUUUGGUUCUCUUUGCUGCUUUUCAUCUCAGACUUUCCAUUAUGUCCAAUUAUGGUCCACUUAAAAUAUCAAAUAAGUUUUAACUAAAAUUAAUAAGACUUUUUCAAUGUUUUCUUCAGAAGAAAUUUCCCAACCACUCUAAUGCUCUGUGGACAUUUAAUAAAUUAGGAGUUUCAGAUUUUAUGGAAGAAUCAAAACCUAACUCAAUUUAAUAAUUUAAUUUGAAUAGAUAAUUGCUGAGCAAAAUGUACUUCUUCACGUAGUUAUCAGACUUUGCAUUUUGACUUCCACUUUCUACUGUCUGAAUACUGGGUUAUUCAUCAAUGUUGAAUCUACCUCACCAUCCCCAAAACUCCCAGGUUUUGAACAGUGUUUUGGUGGAAACCCUUACCUUAAGAAAGUUUGAUUCUUCCUGAUAUAAACUUGCCUCUCCUGUUAUCAUUGCGUUUCUUAUAUGUACCAUACACUAAUUUGGUCAUAGAUAAGUCAUGGACUGACAUAGAAAUUAUAUAUUUUUCAGAAUUAUUAUGUUUUCUUUCCCCUUUUACUGGAUUCUUAAUGAGUUUUAUGUAUGAAGUGCUCCCAUAGGCUCAUGUAUUUGAACAUUUUGUCCUCAGCUACUCGUGUUGAUGUGGAAGGUUCGGAAGCACUGGGCAAAUGGAGCUUUCCUGGAGGAAGUACACCCCUGAUGACAAAUUUAGCUUAAUAUUCACUGUUUAUCAACCAUAAGAGAGAUUAUAUUCCUCAAACUAUAAAACAACCAAAAAACAAAACUUAGUCUCCUAAGCUACUCUUAGACAUUUUUGUCCCAGCAAUGAUAGCAGUAACUAGUACAUGUCCCUUUGGUGCCUUCAUAUUGUGUGGAAUGUUAGAACCAAGCAGACAAAACUAUCUCAGAAAACAUCAGGCACCUGGGACUUCUCGAUAAGCUUUAGGCCAGGGAGUUUCACAAGAAUUUGCUGAGUAAACACCUAUUUAGGAAGUGUCCCAACGACAGUAAGGGCAGGAACCUCCACCUUCCCCACUUCUGUGUUCCAGAGCUGUCUCCCCACCUAGGGUCUCAAAUGAAUUCAAAGGACAAUAGGUAGCCAUCAAUGAAUUCAAAAGGUAAUGAGUCCCGCCAAUUAGAAAUAACCAACUCAUCCUGUAACCUAAAGCCUAUACCAUGAAAAAGUAUAAAGAGUGUGUGCCUUUGUUCUUUGGGAUCGCCUCUGCUCCAAUUGCACAAUGACCCCAGUGCACUGGAUCAAUAAACCUCUUACUUAUUGCA